rnacentral:rRNA from 1 species
AACCUCCGCAAUGUGAGAAAUCGCGACGGGGGGAUCCCAAGUGCCAUUCUUAACGGGAUGGCUUUUCAUUAGUGUAAAGAGCUUUUGGAAUAAGAGCUGGGCAAGACCGGUGCCAGCCGCCGCGGUAACACCGGCAGCUCUAGUGGUAACAAUUUUUAUUGGGCCUAAAGCGUCCGUAGCCGGUUUAAUAAGUCUCUGGUGAAAUCCUGCAGCUUAACUGUGGGAAUUGCUGGAGAUACUAUUAGACUUGAGACCGGGAGAGGUUAGAGGUACUCCCAGGGUAGAGGUGAAAUUCUGUAAUCCUGGGAGGACCGCCUGUUGCGAAGGCGUCUAACUGGAACGGUUCUGACGGUGAGGGACGAAAGUUAGGGGCGCGAACCGGAUUAGAUACCCGGGUAGUCCUAACUGUAACGAUGCGGACUUGGUGUUGGGGUGGCUUUGAGCUGCUUCAGUGCCGAAGGGAAGCUGUUAAGUCCGCCGCCUGGGAAGUACGGUCGCAAGACUGAAACUUAAAGGGAUU